rnacentral:rRNA from 1 species
UGGGGAAUAUUGCACAAUGGGCGCAAGCCUGAUGCAGCCAUGCCGCGUGUGUGAAGAAGGCCUUCGGGUUGUAAAGCACUUUCAGCGGGGAGGAAGGCGUUAAGGUUAAUAACCUUGGCGAUUGACGUUACCCGCAGAAGAAGCACCGGCUAACUCCGUGCCAGCAGCCGCGGUAAUACGGAGGGUGCAAGCGUUAAUCGGAAUUACUGGGCGUAAAGCGCACGCAGGCGGUCUGUCAAGUCGGAUGUGAAAUCCCGGGCUCAACCUGGGAACUGCAUUCGAAACUGGCAGGCUAGAGUCUUGUAGAGGGGGGUAGAAUUCCAGGUGUAGCGAUGAAAUGCGUAGAGAUCUGGAGGAAUACCGGUGGCGAAGGCGGCCCCCUGGACAAAGACUGACGCUCAGGUGCGAAAGCGUGGGGAGCAAACAGG